UGGCUGAUGCCUGCUGGGGGGGGAACGGUCCGCUUGGCCUUGUACCCGCCUUCGCUUGUGGAGGCUGCGUGAGAUGGCUUUGUCCCAAUCUUAGAAGUUAACUGAUGUGAAGAUGUUGGAAAUCUUAACAACUCCUGACGACGGAUCUCUCGGUUCCCACACCGAUGAAGAACGUGGCUAAAUGCGAUAAGUGAUGUGAAUUGCAGAACGCUCAGUGAAUCAUCGAAUUUUUGAACGCACCUUGCGCUCCCUGGUACUCUGGGGAGCAUGCCCGUUUGAGUGUCGUGUGCCUCUUCACCGGAGCCGCUGUGACUCGUUCACUCUGGCUUGCAGGUGGUGGUGGGAUCGCCGGCCCCUUUUGGGGUGUCGGCCUUCUUGAAAUCGAUCAGCGAUGCCCAGUUCCCAAGACCUCAGGCCUGCGGGUGUUAACUUUUAAACCUGCUGCCUUUGGACUGAAGGACGUGUGUGGCCUUGUCGCUCUCCAACCGUCCUUUGGGACAACACCUUU
rnacentral:rRNA from 1 species